GUUUACGGCCAUACCAGCCUGGGUACGCCCGAUCUCGUCUGAUCUUGGAAGCUAAGCAGGGUCGGGCCUGGUUAGUACUUGGAUGGGAGACCGCCUGGGAAUACCAGGUGCUGUAAGCU
rnacentral:rRNA from 1 species